UCCCUGAUGGUCCAGUGGUUAGGACUCUCUGCUCUCAAUGCUGAGGGCCUGGGUUUGAUCCCUGUUCAGGGAA
rnacentral:tRNA from 1 species